rnacentral:rRNA from 1 species
GGACAACCUGCCCUGAGGACUGGAAUAAUCCCGGGAAACUGGGGGUAAUUCCAGAUAUGUCAGAACUCCUAGAAUGGGUUCUGGCAGAAAGGCUCCGGCGCCUCAGGAUGGGUCUGCGGCCUAUCAGGGUAGUAGUGGGUGUAACGUACCUACUAGCCUACGACGGGUACGGGUUGUGAGAGCAAGAGCCCGGAGAUGGAUUCUGAGACAUGAAUCCAGGCCCUACGGGGUGCAGCAGGCGCGAAAACUUUACAAUGCGGGCAACCGCGAUAAGGGGACCUCGAGUGCUGGGUUACAAACCUGGCUGUUGGGCUGCCUAAAAAGCAGUCUAUAGCAAGGGCCGGGCAAGACCGGUGCCAGCCGCCGCGGUAACACCGGCGGCUCGAGUGGUAACCGCUAUUAUUGGGUCUAAAGGGUCUGUAGCCGGCCGACUAAGUCUCUUGGGAAAUCUGGCAUCUCAAGUGUCAGGCUGCCAGGGGAUACUGGUCGGCUUGGGACCGGGAGAGGUGAGAGGUACCUCGGGGGUAGGGGUGAAAUCUUGUAAUCCUCGAGGGACCACCAGUGGCGAAGGCGUCUCACCAGAACGGAUCCGACGGCAAGGGACGAAAGCUAGGGGCACGAACCGGAUUAGAUACCCGGGUAGUCCUAGCCGUAAACGAUACUCGCUAGGUGUCGGCCACGGUGCGACCGUGGUCGGUGCCGUAGGGAAGCCGUGAAGCGAGCCACCUGGGAAGUACGGCCGCAAGGCUGAAACU